GCAGAUUUCCGUUUGCCUUGUCUGGGUAGGUGGACCGGCGAGGAAGCUUAAGGAGCAAUAGUAAUGACCCUACCGUGGCCUAUUUCCCUUUCCUUGUUUGGUCUGGGUUUCUCUAAAGAAAACGGGAAGUGGGAGCAGUUGGAAACACACUUAAGAGUCAAGCGAUGUGGUUCUACCCCUCGCCCUGUGCCUGUAGGUGUUUGAGCAGUUCAGUUUAGUGCACGUUCAACGUCAGUUUUUUUCAGUCACUGUGCUACGCCUUGAAGAUGGAGGCGCGUAAGACGCUCAGACCCUGCCUUUUAGCUCUAGUAGGAAAGACAGGCAUGCUGAAAACUAACAAAAAUAUGAAACACUGGGGCAUUAACAAAUGCCAUGUCUGAUUUGUAAAUCUGAAUGUAGUUACAUACUGCCAACAUAUUCGUUCUCUCUGGGGUGAUGAGUAGGAUGAAGCAGAGAAAUGGUCGUAAAUUACAGUAUAGGCUAUUUUAUAAAAAUAUAUGCACGUUUCUUAGAGAGCAAAAGAAAGUGGUAAAACAAGAACCAGGAAGGCCGACAAGUAGGUUUUUUUAGAAGAGCAGCUUAAAAAGUUGUAGAUGUGUGCACUACAGGAAAUGGAGUUUUGUACCGCUUGGAUCUGAGGGAGUGCCAGAUGAAGCUUGACAGGUAGGCAGUGGUUAUAUGGAAGAACCUGUAUGCUUUGCUAAGAAAUUAAGCUUAAUCCAAUCACUGUUAUGGGCCAGAGAAAGGCUUAAAGUAGGGUAGAAACAUGAACAGGUUUGUUUCAGAUUUCAGGAGUGGGUCAGGAAAGUCAACUGCCAGAACAGUUCAAACGUACAGUGGGGAAGACUGCCCUGCCCAUUCUCCAGGUUGCUGUGGGGGUCAAACAAGAUAGCUAUGUUUGAGAGCUCUGAAUAUAUAUAAAGGGCCACACAAUUAUAUGAUAAUUAUUACAGUAACCCCUUGAUCACUAUUUGAGCCAAGGAAUGCGGGACCUGAGUAUGCAUUUGUUCCCCUUGAAAGUUUUUAGUUCAAACAGAAAAAAGCAAGAUAUAGUUCAGCAUGUCUAGUCCAUUAAAAAAACCAAACACAUAUAUAGCAACACACAUAUACAGAGCCACAUACAUAUACACAAGCACAGAUAUACAGUAUAAUUUGGUUAUCUCUGUGGAGUAGGAUUCCUUGUGACUUUACUUUUUUCUUUCUUUCUAUGUAAGAAUCUAUUAUAAUAGAUAUACAAUUCAUCCUUGAACAACAUGGGGGUAAGGGGUGCUGACCCUCUGAACAGCCAAAAAUCCAUAUAUAACUUUUGACUCCCCCAAAACUUUACUGUUGACCAGAUGCCUUACCAAUAACAUAAACCGUUGAUUAACACAUAUUUUGUAUAUGUAUUAUAUACUUAUAAUACAUAUAAUCUUACAAUCAAGUAAGCUAGAGAAAACAUUAUUAAGAAAAUCAUAAGGAAAAGAAAAUAUAUUUACUAUUCAUUAAGUAGAAGUGGAUCACAUUUUCAUGUUGAGUAGGCUCAGGAGGAGGAAAAGGAGGGCUUAAAUGUGCUGCUAUCUUAUGGGUCUCAGAAGUAGAAGAAAAUCCACAUAUAUGUAGACUCAAGCAGUUCAAACCUGUGUUGUUCAAGGGUCAACUGUGUAUUGUAUUUAUCUCAAUACUAAUAAAAUACUCACCUAUAGUGAUCACUUAGUGGCAUUACUUAGUAUCAGAUUUUUUG
rnacentral:lncRNA from 1 species